rnacentral:rRNA from 1 species
CGGCCGCGUCGACGCCGCGUGAGUGAAGAAGGUUUUCGGAUCGUAAAGCUCUGUUGUUGGUGAAGAAGGAUAGAGGUAGUAACUGGCCUUUAUUUGACGGUAAUCAACCAGAAAGUCACGGCUAACUACGUGCCAGCAGCCGCGGUAAUACGUAGGUGGCAAGCGUUGUCCGGAUUUAUUGGGCGUAAAGCGAGCGCAGGCGGAAGAAUAAGUCUGAUGUGAAAGCCCUCGGCUUAACCGAGGAAUUGCAUCGGAAACUGUUUUUCUUGAGUGCAGAAGAGGUAAGCGGAAUUCCUAGUGUAGCGGUGAAAUGCGUAGAUAUUAGGAGGAACACCAGUGGCGGUCGACGCGGCCG